rnacentral:rRNA from 1 species
CCUACGGGUGGCUGCAGUGGGGAAUAUUGGACAAUGGGGGCAACCCUGAUCCAGCCAUGCCGCGUGUAUGAAGAAGGCCCUCGGGUUGUAAAGCACUUUCAGUGAGGAAGAACGCCUGGUGGUUAAUACCCAUCAGGAAAGACAUCACUCACAGAAGAAGCACCGGCUAACUCCGUGCCAGCAGCCGCGGUAAUACGGAGGGUGCGAGCGUUAAUCGGAAUUACUGGGCGUAAAGCGCGCGUAGGUGGCUUGAUAAGCCGGUUGUGAAAGCCCCGGGCUCAACCUGGGAACGGCAUCCGGAACUGUCAAGCUAGAGUGCAGGAGAGGAAGGUAGAAUUCCCGGUGUAGCGGUGAAAUGCGUAGAGAUCGGGAGGAAUACCAGUGGCGAAGGCGGCCUUCUGGACUGACACUGACACUGAGGUGCGAAAGCGUGGGUAGCAAACAGGAUUAGAUACCCGAGUAGUC